AUUAAUUUCUAUUGUAUUUUCCUUCUUGUACGUAAGAAUGACACUUAAUGUAUACUAUAGCUAUGGGUCGCUCACUUGUAAUUGGUGUCUGUCGCUGUCUCGCCCACGCCGCCCUCUGGGAGGCUACAGUGGCUGUAUGCAGCCAGAUCCGUCCCACAGCCACUUUUACAGCCUACAUCAAGAACACAGCAUUACAACAUGCAUUCCCCCACUCACCACUGUUGCACACCCAGAACAUAGGAUGUUUAGACUCCCGGAAGCUCCUCCAGUGCCAACCCUCGUCCGUCCAGAGCUCCGGGCGGUUGUAACCGCCAGCCCGUAUGAAGUCCAGGAAGUCGCCAUUAGUCACCAGGAACUUUGAGGCCUCGAACGCUGGCACG